rnacentral:lncRNA from 1 species
GGCUAUAUUCUGAGGUACUGGGAGUUAGGAGUUUAACGUGUGUGUGUGUGUGUGUACAAUUGAACAUGUUAAAGAUGUGAACAAACCUUUGGACAGAAGAGCCACUUCUCGUCACCUCCUGUCCCCUCUGUCCAAGCCCCGUCCUUCCCACCCAGAUUCUGCAAGAGCCUCCCUGUUGCCCUGCAUCUCACUGCCUUCUUAAUUCUUCUGUCUAAGACCGGCGGGAGCUACUCGGAAGAGGACAGUGCAGGUGGUUCCUUCCUCUGCUGGGAACUCGGAGACAAAUCCCGAGUGUGGGGCAUGCCCGUGCCCCCAAGGCUCCGUGCCAGGUGCCCGCACUCCUCGGUGUGGCUUGAACAUCACUGCUCUUCCCCAGGGGCAGAGCUUCUCUGUCAAUGUGAGCAGCUGAGAAGCCUGGGCUUUGGGGCUCCUUCCUCCUCUUCUGCUGGGUCUCUGACUGGGAUGGUGGCACCAAUGCAGGCAAUGGGGACCAGGAGGAAGACCCACAGGGACACUCAGUGGCCUGUUACUCUGAGCAGGAGCCUCAGGGAGAAUGUUGUUGGAUCUGCAGCCCACAGAAUCCACUCUGGGUUGGCACAAGAGCAAGUUUAUGGCCCAAGUGACAGUGCUUCCAACUGGGGACAGUCUAGACAGACGACUCCAUGA